rnacentral:rRNA from 1 species
AUUGAACGCUGGCGGCAUGCUUUACACAUGCAAGUCGAACGGUAACAGGGUGCUUGCACCGCUGACGAGUGGCGAACGGGUGAGUAAUGCGUCGGAACGUGCCGAGUAGUGGGGGAUAACGCAGCGAAAGGUGUGCUAAUACCGCAUACGUACUGAGGUAGAAAGUGGGGGACCUUCGGGCCUCACGCUAUUCGAGCGGCCGACGUCUGAUUAGCUAGUAGGGGAGGUAAAGGCUCACCUAGGCGACGAUCAGUAGCGGGUCUGAGAGGAUGAUCCGCAACACUGGGUCUGAGACACGGUCCAGACUCGUGCGGUGGGCAGCAGUGGGGAAUUUUGGACAAUGGGCGAAAGCCUGAUCCAGCCAUGCAGCGUGUCUGAAGAAGGCCUUCGGGUUGUAAAGGACUUUUGUCAGGGAGGAAAUCCCUAGUGCUAAUAACACUGGGGGAUGACAGUACCUGAAGAAUAAGCACCGGCUAACUACGUGCCAGCCGCCGCAGUAA